UAUUUUAUUUUGAUUCUUAGUUUUUGAGGUUAGCUUUUGUAUUUCUCAAUCAAAAACUAUCCGCACAUGUUUCGUCAAACAUGAUGUCCAAAGAUUCUUUAUUCUCUAAAUACGAAAAGAAUUUUGUUUAUAAAUCUGUAACGAUCAGGAAGCGAAUAGAUGGCAGAGGUGCUGAUGAGUAUCGAAAGCUGGACAUUGCGUAUGGGAAGGAAUGGGGUUCAUGCAUUGUAUCACUUGGCGAAACAAAAGUAUUGGCAACAGUGACAUGCGACGUGCAAGAACCCAAAGCCACACGUCCAAGUGAAGGCUUGCUGUUCAUGAAUGUUGAAAUCAGUCCGAUGGCCAUUCCCAAUAUAGAGCAGAGCACGCUCAGCGAAAUGCACACAAAUUUGAGUCGUCUGCUGGAAAAGUGCAUAAAAGAAUCGCAUUGUGUCGAUCUGGAAGCACUCUGCAUAGUUGCUGAAGAAAAGGUGUGGAACGUGCGCGUGGACAUGGUGGUGUUGAACCAUGAGGGCAACCUGGUCGGCUGCUGCUCGGUGGCCGCCCUGUCCGCAUUGGCGCACUUCCGGCGACCGGAUGUCACCGUGGACGGCCACACAGUCAUCGUACACGACCCGGCCGAACGCGAGCUGGUGCCGCUCAGUCUGCACCACUAUCCGGUCGCCAUCGAGUAUGCCAUCUUCGAGGACGGUGACGUGCUGAUCCUAUCUGACCCAACGGAAAUAGAGGAGCGAACCGCCCAGGCCCAGCUGGUUUUGGGGAUGAACGCUUACAGGGAGCUGUGUGGCAUGCAUCUGAUGGGCAGCGCUCUGUUGUCUCCCGAUGUCAUCAUCAAUUGCUCCCGGAAGGCGGCAGAACAGGCGCUCGUUUUGGUCACAGCUAUCAAGAAGGCGGUCGAGGAAGACCAGAAACAGAGGGAUGCGAAUCAGCCAUCAUGUCUGGUGCAGAGAAUAAGAAUGGACCAAGAACUGCCAGGCUCACAGAGUCGCUCUAUGCUUCCGUUGAAUAGAGAGGAGGUGAGGGAGAGAGUGACGGAGAUAAUAGAGCAAGUACAAUCGACAAAGAUAACAAAGUCCUCGAAAGAUGACGAUGGUGAUGAUGAUGUUGUUAUUCUUUCUGAUGAUGAAGUCGAAGUUGUAAGGAAAUCAGGUCCAAGAUCCGCUGAAACUUUCUCAAAAAAGAAGAACGAGCAAAAUCCUUGGAAAAGCGUUUCAGGAGCUGAUAGUAAGAAAGAUGCUGACGCAGUGAAAAAAGAAGAGACAAAGACAGAGUCCAGUGAGAAAAUGGUUGAAGAUGUUCUGUCGUCAGACGAAGAUGAUGUUGCGCUUGUGAGAGAGUUCACUACUGAGGAUAGGAUCAUCGGUAUGAUUGAGCUGAGUGGAGAUAGCGAAGAAGAAGAAAUUGUAACAAUGAGGCCUAAAGAUUUAGAAGCAGUUGAAGAUAAGAGGAAAGGAAAAAUCAAGCAAGAGGAGGACAAAGUAUGAUGAAAGUGAAUAUUUUUGGAAAUCUAUGAAACUAAUUGAAGGGAAUCAUUGGACGUGAGACAUGCAAUACAUUAUUUCUCUUGUAGAGAGGGGUAGUCAUCAUGUAGCAUGGCACACAGCCGGCAAUAGAAGUAGCCCUCGAUGAUCUCUCCCAUGUCGCGCCACUUGAAAUACGAGUUGAAGAGGUCGUCAUCC
rnacentral:misc_RNA from 1 species